ACCCCAGGAUAUUAAGCCGGCAGUUGCUUUGAUUCCCACGAGCGUCUGUGACUAUGAUUGGGAACAGUAAUGCUAUAUGAUGUGUGCAUGUUGGGCAACGUAUUCUGCGCGCUUAACGAAGAAAUUUCAGCCGACA
rnacentral:snoRNA from 1 species